rnacentral:pre_miRNA from 1 species
UAGCUAAUUGUUUCCAUAUUAGGGUUUGAACUUUCUUUUGGCCCAAAUUAGUCAUUGAAUUAGGCAAUUUUUCCCAUAUUGAGACUUGAACGAGAUAAUUGUUCCCAUAUUGGAGUUUGCACUUUUUUUUGUCUAAAUUAGUUCUUGAACUUGGUAAUUGUUCCCAUGUUAGGGCCUAAAUUUUAGAAUUUUCAAAGAAACAUGAUUAAUUAACUUAGACAAAAAAAAACUAGCCCCAACAAAGAACAAUUGUUAAGUUCAAAGACUAAUUUGGAUUAAAAAAAACUCAAACUCUAAUGUGUAAACAAUUAUCAA